UUCACGUGGCCCGGGCCGCUGAGAGAGAAGGCUCGGGCCGGCCAUGGCGGCCUCCGAGCUUUGGUUCUCGCUGCUGCUGGCGGCGGCGUUCGCGGGCCUCGCGACGGCUCUGUGGCCCUGGCCCCAAUACAUCCAGAGCUACCACCGGCGCUACACCCUGUACCCCAACAACUUCCAGUUCCGGUACCAUGUCAGUUCGGCUGCGCAGCCCGGCUGCGUAGUCCUCGACGAGGCUUUCCAGCGCUACCGCAACCUGCUCUUCGGUUCCGGCUCCUGGCCCCGGCCCAACCUCUCGGGUGAGUCGCGCCUGCCGCGCCUGGCUCCCUGGCCCCCAAAGCCCUGCCUUGGGACAGCCCCCAGGUCUCCCGAGACACCUCCUGUGGCUCUUGCCCAACCCCGACCCCACAGUCUGUUUCUCCCGCCUUUCCCUGCAGCUUCCCGGCCUCCCAGGCUUCAGCCUGUCCACUCACCCCUUCCCUGAGCCGACUUCUGGGGCCAGGCUUACUGGAGUCCUUCUUUUAGGUUCUGUUGGCUUUCCAUCCAGAAAUGCCUACCCUCGGGCCACAGUUUGGUCAGGAUACCAAAUUAUUGAAAGUACUGUGCCAGUAGAUAUCUAUGGUGAUCUUUCUGGCCAUGGUCAAGUGGCACAGGGUUCUUCUAAAUGAGGCUCUGAUCACUACUGGGUACAAGGAGAUCAGAGACGCCCCUUAAAAUUGCGGGGGCAAGGUUCAGAAACCUGUGCAGAAGUGCGUGAACGUGUCUGGUACGCAGCGUGUUCAGAAAUGUUUACACAGUGAGAGCAAUCAAAGAACCCAGCCAUAAGGAAGUGAGUUUUCAGCAGCACUGAAAAUGAGGCGAGACUUCUGGGGCUUCCAGUCCAGGCCUGGUGUAUG